rnacentral:rRNA from 1 species
CCUACGGGAGGCAGCAGUGAGGAAUCUUGCGCAAUGGGGGAAACCCUGACGCAGCAACGCCGCGUGGAGGAUGAAGGCCUUCGGGUUGUAAACUCCUUUUGCAGGGGACGAUGAUGACGGUACCCUGCGAAUAAGCCACGGCUAACUCUGUGCCAGCAGCCGCGGUAAGACAGAGGUGGCGAGCGUUGUUCGGAAUUACUGGGCUUAAAGGGCGCGUAGGUGGUAGUGCAAGUCUGGGGUGGAAUCCUAUGGCUUAACCAAAGAACUGCCCUGGAAACUGCAUUACUUGAGUCAGCGAGGGGAGGGUAAAAUUCCUGGGGUAGCGGUGAAAGGCGUAGAUAUCAGGAGGAAGGCCGGUGGCGAAGGCGGCCCUCGGGCGCUUGCCUGACCCUGAGGCGCGAAAGCGUGGGAAGCAAACAGGAUUAGAUCCCCGGGUAGU